AUAUUUUUUCCUAUUAUCUAUUUAACUCCUCUCUCUACUCUCCCCUUUCUCACAGAACCAACCACCCAUCGCCGCCCAGCUUCGCCGCAGGAAAUCGCCCACUGGCGGCGGCCGUCCUCCAAACACCCUCAAAUUACACCAUUCUUUUCCUCUCCUCACCCACCAAAACUUGACAAACCCAAACCCUGGUCGCGCUGCCGCCUCUGCCCCGCCGCGCGCCACCGCCCAAAGCCCCUCAAAAUUUCACUAGCUCCUCCUAACCUCCUGCUCUUUCCUAUUCCAUACCCUAAAAUCCUCAAAACCCUCUCCCUCACCUCAUGCUACUACCUCUGUCGCCACCACCACAGCUCGCCACCGCAUCGGCCAACCUAGACCAUCAGUAGCCCUUCAUUUUUAGACUAUUCCUGACCAAGAAUGUUCGUUUCUCCUUAGCACAAUGCUAGAACUCAUUUGUUUUGGCGUGUUCUAGAAAGAAACGCCCGUUCAAGGUUAGGCUGUCAUGGCUUGUCUUCAUGGGCAUCUCCUCGUUUGAUUUGGCAUCGGCUUCCAUCGUUUGGUAUAACCCUAUUCCCUCUUUCCUUUCUUUUUCUUUUUUUCUUUCUUCUCUCUUCUUCUUCUCUGAUUCUCCGUGUGUAUUUUUCAUUAGGUUUAGGGAUUAAUCAUAGUCAUGAUUUUGUUAGUCGUAUUAUCAGUGUAUGUUAAUUCAGUAAUUCGUUGUUAUUCUGGAAUCAUAUGUUUCUUCAUAUCUUUAAAUUAGUUUUUUUGACCUUGCCGGUCGAUUAGCUUGUAUAUAGUUCGUCAGUUUUGAUUUUUGAUUCUUCGACCUAGCUGGUCAACUAUUUCAUAAGCAUUUGUUAUCUUUCUUCUCUCUUCUUCUCUGAUUUUCAUGUGUAUUUUUAUUACGUUUCGAGAUUAAUCGUUAGUCAUGAUUCUAUUAGUCGUAUUAUCAGUGUAUGUUAUUUUAGUAAUUCAUUGUUAUUCUGGAAUCAUAUAUUUAUUCAUAUGUUUUAAUUAUAUUUUUUUUACCUUGUCAUUUGAUUAGUUCGUAUAUAGUUCGUCAUUUAUGAUUUUUGAUUCUUCGACCUAGCUGGUCGACUAUGUCAUAUGCAUUUAUUCUUGCUAAACUUUUAGUUUUAUCGACCUAAACGGUCGAUUGUUUGUUUGCUCGUGCUUGUUACUCUUGGAUAUUUGUUUCUCGACCUAGCCGGUCGAUUAUUUUGUCGUUUGUUUGAAUAUUAAGUUAGUCACGACUACAAAUGAUGGAUUCAAUUCAAAUUGUUGAAUUGUUUAAUUCACCGGGUUAGUCGGUUCAUUGAAUGAUUUGUUAAGCUUGACCUUAUCUUCCUUUGUGCAUGAUUUGAGUUUGAGUUUUCAGCUUAAAUAAGUCAUGUAUUGGUUAAAAACUGAAGUAGUGAGAAAUACACGAGUAUAGGGUACUUGUUUGGUUGCUUUUACUGUUUAAAAGGCUGUUUGGAGUACACUGCUCUUAGCACUGUUCGUAGUUGGGGAGGAACUAUCUUACAGACAGAUUUUUGACCAAAAAAUAUGUCCUUUGAUCAGUUGGGACAGAUUUUAGGUGGAAAAUCCGUCCUUUCGAUAGAUUGAAUGAAAUAAUUCAAUCCCUCUCCUUUCCUGUAAAGGAAAAGGUCUUUCCUCAUUUAAAGAUGGGGGGAAGACAAGCUAUCUUACAUUAGAACAGAUAGCUUCUGAAAAUCUUUAACACUGAGAAAAAUACAAAAACUUUGAGAAACAUCAGCAGCUAAAACAACGAAAAGUGAGCUGAAAAACUGAAAGUUUGCAAGUUCUUUCUUCCUUUCCUAAGUCGGUGAGCUUUUGGUCUGGGUUUCUAAGUCACUUCGGAUCUAAAAGACUAUUGUUCGAUUGUUGUUUCAUUUGGCUGGAGUUUGGUUUGCUGGUUCCCUGCUCUGCUGUCUGUUUUUCUUCUAUUUUCUGCAAAUUAGGUAUUUUUUAGCUCUCUAAUUUAGCUUUUAGCUGCAUAAAGCUAUUGCAAUGAAUGUGUUGAUAUGUUAUUAUUGUUACUUUAUAUUUGUGUUUGAUGUUUUGCUCAUAAAUGGAUGAAUGAAUGUUCAACUUCAUGAAUAUGUGCUCUGUUUCUCUUUUAAGUUUCAGCUCUCCUAAACUCAAAAGUUGUACAUGAUUGAAGCUAUGGUGACAGAUUUGUGGCAUAGUUCAGUUGAGGAGCAAGUAAAUAUAAGACACAUUUGAAAUCCUCUGAUAGUUGAUAGCUUAGAUAAAUGUUGAGUUUUUAAGUCGAAGAUGUGUGUAUGGUAGAGUUUAAUCUUAAGAGCAGUUGUACUGAUAUUCUUUGGUUCAAGUUUCUUUUUUGUUUUGAUUAUGAAUUUGUACUAGUUUGCUCUAGUUUUCUUUUAAGGGUUUUUUUCUCUUUUCUUUAAGUUUGACAUAAAUAUUGUUCUCUUAUAUUUUCAUUUGCGUUAGCAGAGUUUUUGCAAAUAAGUUCCAAUACAUGUUAAAGUGCUUGAGUAGAUAACGCUUUUUUUUUUUGUUUAUUUAUUCGUUCUCUAAUUCGAGUAUAAGAAUGAAUACUUAGAAGUUCCUCCUUAGUUUUAAUAUCUUUUAAAAGGUUGUUAAAAUAUAUUUUAGCUUGAAAGGUUGUGUAUCAUUGU
rnacentral:lncRNA from 1 species